UCCAUCCCGGACGAGCCCCCAAAAUUGUUGAAGUUAUUUCAAACUUCCCCGAGUCCGUUGAUGGAGACUGGAACAGAGGAUUCACUGAGGCAAAAAGGUGUCUUCAACAAACCUUUUAUUUCGGCACAUCAAAUAACACAAGAUAUCUUGGAGAGCACAACAUCAACCCAAUGGUAUCUCUGAGGUGGUCUGAUUACUAUUUUUCAGUAGUUAAUAGUUAUACCCUAGGAGGCGUCUCAUCAUCUUUUUGGGCGGAGAGUUUACAUAACCAGCAGUCCCCAGUAUUUCUCUAUGGACAAACAAGCACGUAUUGUUCUAUUUUUUUUACCUGACCGAAACCGUGGUUUCAGGGAAGUUGACCUUGGAUGCAUCCAGCGCUUGUCUCCUUUUAUCAUAUUUGCGUCAUGUAUUCCAAGCUUUCACUGAGUUCCCACUGGGCAGACUGCUGGGCAUGCAAACCCUCCCUUUACACCUCCCCAUCUUCUCAGGACAGAGUGAUCUUCCUCCCUCGUCCUGUUGUUCACAUCUCUGACUAGCACCUGCACAUCUGUUUAUGAAAGGCACAUCAUUAUCUGAGGCAUAUGUCAGGGUCAUAGAGCACUUUUAUAAGGAACACUUUUAAUAAAUGACUGUUGUGAUUAUAAUACACACUUCAAAUAAAUGACUGUUAAGGCAUAACAGUUUAUAACCAUACUUACCAACCCUUGGCACUUCUAGGCAUAAGCUAAAAUCUAAAUGACUGUUAAGGCAGAACAGUUUAAAACCAUACUUACCAACCCUUGGCACUUCUAGGCAUAAGCUAAAAUCCUUCUAUACUGAAAGUCUCUGUUCUAUACAUUGUGACACAGUGGUCA